AGGGGCAGCACAAGGAGCAAUCUGAGGUGGCGACCGGCGCACGGGUGAGUAACACGUAUGCAACCUGCCUGUAAGCGGGGAAUAACCCGUUGAAAGACGGACUAAUACCGCAUAAUACUAAAUUACUGCAUGGUAAUUUAUUUAAACAUUUAUGGCUUACAGAUGGGCAUGCGCAUGAAUAGCUAGUUGGAGAGGUAACGGCUCCCCAAGGCAACGAUCAUUAGGGGUUCUGAGAGGAAGGUCCCCCACACUGGUACUGAGACACGGACCAGACUCCUACGGGAGGCAGCAGUGAGGAAUAUUGGUCAAUGGACGAGAGUCUGAACCAGCCAAGUCGCGUGCAGGAAGAAUGUCCUAAUGGAUUGUAAACUGCUUUUGCAAGGGAAUAAAGUGCAUCACGUGUGAUGUUUUGUAUGUACUCUGCGAAUAAGGAUCGGCUAACUCCGUGCCAGCCGCAGC
rnacentral:rRNA from 1 species